UCCAAUCAAAGAAUGUACUCGCAAUCGGGAAUGUCCGCCUUUGAUUUUUCCUGGAUGAGUGGAGUAAUAUAACUGUAUUGCUCUGCUUAUCCCGCUAAAAACGAAAGCGGACAUUGCCGAUUGCAAAUACAUUUAUAGAGUGGACUCAGAAUUUAGAUCCCCCGUAUGGUUCUUCUGUUUUCCGCGAAUAAGGAUACCUACUUCAACACUAUCGUCCAGGAAUGAUAAAUGGUUUUAAGGCCUAGAGUGAAUUAAAUAAAAAUGGUUUCCGGUGCUUUGGAUGUGCAAUUCAAUAUAUUGUUUGCAGCGGAAUAUGGAGACUCAAACAAGGAACGCCAUUUUGUUUUUGAAUUCUUGUAUUAACCUAAAUUAUGGAAAAAAUACUGUGCUACUAAAAAUGUAUCUGUGUUUAUAAUAAAAGAACUGAAGCAUGA